rnacentral:rRNA from 1 species
GGCGAACGGGUGAGUAACACGUGGGUGAUCUACCUCUGAGUGGGGGAUAACGUUCCGAAAGGAGCGCUAAUACCGCAUGACGUGCCGGGUUUGAAGACCUGGCCACCAAAGUCGGGGACCGCAAGGCCUGACGCUUGGAGAGGAGCCCGCGCCUGAUUAGCUAGUUGGUGAGGUCACGGCUCACCAAGGCGACGAUCAGUAGCCGGCCUGAGAGGGCGGACGGCCACACUGGGACUGAGACACGGCCCAGACUCCUACGGGAGGCAGCAGUGGGGAAUUGUUCGCAAUGGGCGCAAGCCUGACGACGCAACGCCGCGUGGAGGAUGAAGGUCUUCGGAUUGUAAACUCCUGUUGACCGGGAAGAAUGGACUCCGACCUAACACGUCGGGGUAAUGACGGUACCGGUUGAGGAAGCCACGGCUAACUCUGUGCCAGCAGCCGCGGUAAUACAGAGGUGGCAAGCGUUGUUCGGAAUUACUGGGCGUAAAGGGCGCGUAGGCGGUCGCCUAAGUCGGACGUGAAAUCCCCAAGCUUAACUUGGGAACUGCGUCCGAUACUGGGGGACUGGAGUUCGGGAGAGGAAUGUGGAAUUCCAGGUGUAGCGGUGAAAUGCGUAGAUAUCUGGAGGAACACCGGUGGCGAAGGCGGCAUUCUGGACCGAAACUGACGCUGAGGCGCGAAAGCCAGGGGAGCAAACGGGAUUAGAUACCCCGGUAGUCC